rnacentral:rRNA from 1 species
GACGAACCGUGCGAACGUUGUUCGGAUUCACUGGGCUUAAAGGGCGCGUAGGCGGGCGGUCAAGUCGGGGGUGAAAUCUUUCAGCUUAACUGGAAAAGUGCCUCCGAUACUGAUCGCCUCGAGGGAGGUAGGGGCAUGUGGAACUUCCGGUGGAGCGGUGAAAUGCGCAGAUAUCGGGAGGAACACCAGUAGCGAAGGCGGCACUCUGGGCCGGUACUGACGCUGAGGAGCGAAAGCGUGGGGAGCAAACAGG